UACAGAGGGGGCAAGCGUUAUUCGGAAUUAUUGGGCGUAAAGGGCGCGUAGGCGGCUUGGCAAGUGGAAGGUGAAAUCCCUCGGCUUAACCGAGGAACUGCCCUCCAAACUGCUUCGCUUGAGACCGGGAGAGGUGAGUGGAAUUCCCAGUGUAGCGGUGAAAUGCGUAGAUAUUGGGAGGAACACCAAAAAAGGCGAAGGCAGUCAACUAUUCUGUUCUUGACAUUGAGGCAUGAAAGCGUGGGGAGCAAACCGG
rnacentral:rRNA from 1 species